rnacentral:SRP_RNA from 1 species
GGUCGGGUCCUGUGCAACUUUGGCCUGUGAACCGAGUCAGGGCCGGAAGGCAGCAGCUCUCAGCGGAACCCAUCGUGUGCCGCAGAUCGCCUGGCCGUC